GCGAAAGACGGGUGAGAAUCCCGUCCACCGAUUGACUAAGGUUUCCAGAGGAAGGCUCGUCCGCUCUGGGUUAGUCGGGUCCUAAGCUGAGGCCGACAGGCGUAGGCGAUGGAUAACAGGUUGAUAUUCCUGUACCACCUAUAAUCGUUUUAAUCGAUGGGGGGACGCAGUAGGAUAGGCGAAGCGUGCGAUUGGAUUGCACGUCUAAGCAGUAAGGCUGAGUAUUAGGCAAAUCCGGUACUCGUUAAGGCUGAGCUGUGAUGGGGAGAAGACAUUGCGUCUUCGAGUCGUUGAUUUCACACUGCCGAGAAAAGCCUCUAGAUAGAAAAUAGGUGCCCGUACCGCAAACCGACACAGGUAGUCAAGAUGAGAAUUCUAAGGUGAGCGAGCGAACUCUCGUUAAGGAACUCGGCAAAAUGACCCCGUAACUUCGGGAGAAGGGGUGCUCUUUAGGGUUAACGCCCAGAAGAGCCGCAGUGAAUAGGCCCAAGCGACUGUUUAUCAAAAACACAGGUCUCUGCUAAACCGUAAGGUGAUGUAUAGGGGCUGACGCCUGCCCGGUGCUGGAAGGUUAAGAGGAGUGGUUAGCUUCUGCGAAGCUACGAAUCGAAGCCCCAGUAAACGGCGGCCGUAACUAUAACGGUCCUAAGGUAGCGAAAUUCCUUGUCGGGUAAGUUCCGACCCGCACGAAAGGCGUAACGAUUUGGGCACUGUCUCAACGAGAGACUCGGUGAAAUCAUAGUACCUGUGAAGAUGCAGGUUACCCGCGACAGGACGGAAAGACCCCGUGGAGCUUUACUGUAGCCUGAUAUUGAAAUUCGGCACAGCUUGUACAGGAUAGGUAGGAGCCUUUGAAACGUGAGCGCUAGCUUACGUGGAGGCGCUGGUGGGAUACUACCCUAGCUGUGUUGGCUUUCUAACCCGCACCACUUAUCGUGGUGGGAGACAGUGUCAGGCGGGCAGUUUGACUGGGGCGGUCGCCUCCUAAAAGGUAACGGAGGCGCUCAAAGGUUCCCUCAGAAUGGUUGGAAAUCAUUCAUAGAGUGUAAAGGCAUAAGGGAGCUUGACUGCGAGACCUACAAGUCGAGCAGGGUCGAAAGACGGACUUAGUGAUCCGGUGGUUCCGCAUGGAAGGGCCAUCGCUCAACGGAUAAAAGCUACCCCGGGGAUAACAGGCUUAUCUCCCCCAAGAGUUCACAUCGACGGGGAGGUUUGGCACCUCGAUGUCGGCUCAUCGCAUCCUGGGGCUGUAGUCGGUCCCAAGGGUUGGGCUGUUCGCCCAUUAAAGCGGUACGCGAGCUGGGUUCAGAACGUCGUGAGACAGUUCGGUCCCUAUCCGUCGUGGGCGUAGGAAAUUUGAGAGGAGCUGUCCUUAGUACGAGAGGACCGGGAUGGACAUACCUCUGGUGUACCAGUUGUCGUGCCAACGGCAUAGCUGGGUAGCUAUGUGUGGACGGGAUAAGUGCUGAAAGCAUCUAAGCAUGAAGCCCCCCUCAAGAUGAGAUUUCCCAACUUCGGUUAUAAGAUCCCUCAAAGAUGAUGAGGUUAAUAGGUUCGAGGUGGAAGCAUGGUGACAUGUGGAGCUGACGAAUACUAAUCGAUCGAAGACUUAAUCAAAA
rnacentral:rRNA from 1 species